GGUACGGGUCCCGGCGAGGGGCAAAAAGCGAAGCGCAAAACGCGUGCCUGAGCAGAGCCGGGGUUUCCUAGGUACCGGUUCGAGAGGGCGGGAAGAAGGUCCGCUUAUUAGUGAAGCAUGGCGAUGAGACCCCCUCCGGGAGAUUUUUCGGCCCGUAAUUUAGAAGCUGUUUAUAUUCUGUUAUGUUAGAGAGUUGGUUUCAUUGAUCUGUCCAGGCUUGUCACCCUCAAUGAGGAGAGUGGAGUUCUCUCAGUUUUACAGCUUAUCUCGAGACUACACGGUGACGGAUCCCUUUCCCUGCUGGAAGUGACAGCUUCGGAAGAUAAGAUCUUCGCAUCUCCACAGAGCUCCCUGCCCAAAUUCUGACCUCCAUAGGCCCCACCCUUGAAUGUCCAGAAAUUGGCCAAGCCAGAGCCGGCAAACGGAUCAUAUCCUUCACUUCUGGUUUUCCAAUCUUUCCUCUGAGCGGUUUAGGGCAAUGGGCUUGAUUCUGCUUGCAGGUGUUCCAAAAUCAUUACCUUUGCAUGGCGUUCAGCUCGCCUUGUGAAUUCUGAAGGAUUUGGGAGUGAUAUUGGAUGAUGGACAUUUAGCUGCUGCGUGCUAACAACAGGAAAGGAAACUGGUCAGAUUAUCCUUGCAAUAACACAGUGGUAGAUAAGGCUCAAGAGUAUGUGACUAGCCAAAGGUCACCCAGCAAGCUUCCAUGGCAGAGUGGGGAUUUGAACCUGGCUCUCCAAGAUCCUAGUCCAACAACAACACCAUGCUGUAUCUUAUGUAUGAGCUUGUGUAGGAAUAAAUUUAGUUUCUAAAGUGUCA